rnacentral:rRNA from 1 species
AUUGAACGCUGGCGGCAUGCUUUACACAUGCAAGUCGAACGGCAGCACGGGUGCUUGCACCUGGUGGCGAGUGGCGAACGGGUAAGUAAUGCAUCGGAACGUAUCCAAUAAUGGGGGAUAACGCAUCGAAAGGUGUGCUAAUACCGCAUACGCCCUGAGGGGGAAAGUGGGGGACCGUAAGGCCUCACGUUAAUGGAGCGGCCGAUGCCUGAUUAGCUAGUUGGUGAGGUAAAGGCUCACCAAGGCGACGAUCAGUAGCUGGUCUGAGAGGAUGAUCAGCCACACUGGGACUGAGACACGGCCCAGACUCCUACGGGAGGCAGCAGUGGGGAAUUUUGGACAAUGGGCGCAAGCCUGAUCCAGCCAUGCCGCGUGAGUGAAGAAGGCCUUCGGGUUGUAAAGCUCUUUCGCAAGGGAAGAAAACUUAGUUCUUAAUACGAGCUGAGGAUGACGGUACCUUGAUAAGAAGCACCGGCUAACUACGUGCCAGCCGCCGCAGUAACAC